GAAAGAAUGGCAUGGACAUCUUGGAUGACAUGGGGGGUCACGGAGGUCUGGGGCCUGUCCCAGCGUCUAGGGUCACAGGUGGAGAAAUACCCUGAAUCGUUGACCAGCUCUUCAUGUUGGGUCACAGGCAGUGUCAUCUCUUGUCAGACAAAGGGAAAAAACAGCCUUGACAACACUGUCCUCACCUUACUCUUUCACAUUCUCUUCCUCCUCUCCCUCUCAGAUUGUUUCCAUCUAUUGUUAUCCACAUUCAGUGUUAUUUCCAUCUAUUGUUAUGAAAAAUCAGCAGAUGGCGCUGUGGUGUAAGAUUUACACUUCUUGUAUCCUGUGGCAAUCCAAAAUUGUUUUGUUUUUUCCAUAAUAAUACUUUUGUAAGAUUACCGCAAGAACGUAUCUUCAAUGUAUGCCAAUGUUAAUUAAAUAAUAAAUUCACACUGUUAUUAAAUGUCAAAAUAUUUGUUUAUAAGAAACUGAAACUUGUUUUAGAAAGGACACGUUAAAACUGAUAAAGAUGAAGAUUUAUAUUUCAAA